GAUGAACGCUGGCGGCGUGCCUAAUACAUGCAAGUCGAGCGAACGGACGAGAAGCUUGCUUCUCUGAUGUUAGCGGCGGACGGGUGAGUAACACGUGGAUAACCUACCUAUAAGACUGGGAUAACUUCGGGGAACCGGAGCUAAUACCGGAUAAUAUUUUGAACCGCAUGGUUCAAAAGUGAAAGACGGUCUUGCUGUCACUUAUAGAUGGAUCCGCGCUGCAUUAGCUAGUUGGUAAGGUAACGGCUUACCAAGGCAACGAUGCAUAGCCGACCUGAGAGGGUGAUCGGCCACACUGGAACUGAGACACGGUCCAGACUCCUACGGGAGGCAGCAGUAGGGAAUCUUCCGCAAUGGGCGAAAGCCUGACGGAGCAACGCCGCGUGAGUGAUGAAGGUCUUCGGAUCGUAAAACUCUGUUAUUAGGGAAGAACAUAUGUGUAAGUAACUGUGCACAUCUUGACGGUACCUAAUCAGAAAGCCACGGCUAACUACGUGCCAGCAGCCGCGGUAAUACGUAGGUGGCAAGCGUUAUCCGGAAUUAUUGGGCGUAAAGCGCGCGUAGGCGGUUUUUUAAGUCUGAUGUGAAAGCCCACGGCUCAACCGUGGAGGGUCAUUGGAAACUGGAAAACUUGAGUGCAGAAGAGGAAAGUGGAAUUCCAUGUGUAGCGGUGAAAUGCGCAGAGAUAUGGAGGAACACCAGUGGCGAAGGCGACUUUCUGGUCUGUAACUGACGCUGAUGUGCGAAAGCAUGGGGAUCAAACAGGAUUAGAUACCCUGGUAGUCCACGCCGUAAACGAUGAGUGCUAAGUGUUAGGGGGGUUCCGCCCCUUAGUGCUGCAGCUAACGCAUUAAGCACUCCGCCUGGGGAGUACGACCGCAAGGUUGAAACUCAAAGGAAUUGACGGGGACCCGCACAAGCGGUGGAGCAUGUGGUUUAAUUCGAAGCAACGCGAAGAACCUUACCAAAUCUUGACAUCCUUUGACAACUCUAGAGAUAGAGCUUUCCCCUUCGGGGGACAAAGUGACAGGUGGUGCAUGGUUGUCGUCAGCUCGUGUCGUGAGAUGUUGGGUUAAGUCCCGCAACGAGCGCAACCCUUAAGCUUAGUUGCCAUCAUUAAGUUGGGCACUCUAAGUUGACUGCCGGUGACAAACCGGAGGAAGGUGGGGAUGACGUCAAAUCAUCAUGCCCCUUAUGAUUUGGGCUACACACGUGCUACAAUGGACAAUACAAAGGGCAGCGAAACCGUGAGGUCAAGCAAAUCCCAUAAAGUUGUUCUCAGUUCGGAUUGUAGUCUGCAACUCGACUACAUGAAGCUGGAAUCGCUAGUAAUCGUAGAUCAGCAUGCUACGGUGAAUACGUUCCCGGGUCU
rnacentral:rRNA from 1 species